UACGUAGGCAGCAAGCGUUGUUCGGAAUUACUGGGCGUAAAGAGUGUGUAGGCGGUGCUCUAAGUCUGUUGUGAAAUCUCCCGGCUCAACUGGGAGGGUGCGGCGGAAACUGGAGUGCUCGAGGGUGGGAGAGGUAAGCGGAAUUCCUGGUGUAGCGGUGAAAUGCGUAGAUAUCAGGAGGAACACCUGUGGUGUAGACAGCUUACUGGACCACUUCUGACGCUGAGGUGCGAAAGCGUGGGGAGCAAACAGG
rnacentral:rRNA from 1 species